rnacentral:rRNA from 1 species
GAUGAACGCUGGCGGCGUGCCUAACACAUGCAAGUCGAGCGAUUCUCUUCGGAGAAGAGCGGCGGACGGGUGAGUAACGCGUGGGUAACCUGCCCUGUACACACGGAUAACAUACCGAAAGGUAUGCUAAUACGAGAUAAUAUACUUUUAUCGCAUGGUAGAAGUAUCAAAGCUUUUGCGGUACAGGAUGGACCCGCGUCUGAUUAGCUAGUCGGUAAGGUAACGGCUUACCAAGGCGACGAUCAGUAGCCGACCUGAGAGGGUGAUCGGCCACAUUGGAACUGAGACACGGUCCAAACUCCUACGGGAGGCAGCAGUGGGGAAUAUUGCACAAUGGGCGAAAGCCUGAUGCAGCAACGCCGCGUGAGCGAUGAAGGCCUUCGGGUCGUAAAGCGCUGUCCUCAAGGAAGAUAAUGACGGUACUUGAGGAGGAAGCCCCGGCUAACUACGUGCCAGCCGCCGCGGUAA